GUCUAGCUGACGAGUCCCAAAUAGGACGAAAUGCGCAUCCUGGAU
rnacentral:hammerhead_ribozyme from 1 species